rnacentral:lncRNA from 1 species
AUAAACAAUUUUAAUUUGCUAACGGUAUGUUUUGGUAACUGACAGAUUUAAGUACCAAGAAAGUUGAAAUUAAACUGAUUUACAGUCAAGCUUUGCAAUGAUUUUGUUAUUGCACGUUUUAUUGUUUGAGGGAGUACAUGUGCGGGAAAACAGGUGGAAGGUAUAAGAGAAAGAUUUGCACAUAUGGAAAACACAUGCAAAAGCGGAUCAGCUCGUCGUUCUGUAAAAUGAAUCCGUCAUGAAAGAAAAUCUCCGAGGUGCAAUCACACCGCAUCUGCGUGAAAUGAUCCGACAGAGGACGGAUAGCAUUAAAUUGUGAAAACAUAACAGUAAAUAUUUGAGAUAUACCUAUUGUAUUGCAUUAAUGUGAAAGCAAUAUCGGAACAAAGGCCGAUCAUCUAUUCCCGACGGAAAAUCUUAGCUGGAUUUGAAAUUUCAAAGAACGCAUGCUGAGUCCCCUGGCAGUGCCACAGAAGAUGUCAAUAGAGGUCAUCAAACUGUAAUUAGUUCCUUUGAUGUUUUUUCGUGCCGCCACUAUCAUUUGUAUUUUCCAUUACAUAGCGUUAAUUCAGCUUCCAUAAAUUGAACAUUAUUGAAGGAGCGAGAAAGAAAUGAGCUGGAAGGCAGUGCAUCUUAUAUGAUAGAAAAUAUAGGAAGAUGAUAAAUAAAAUACGUACAUUUGUUAUUUAUAUAUAGGCCGACAUUGAUUUUUUUGCUCGGAGGAAAAUAGUACGUGCAAUAAACGUGAAGACCGUUAUAUAUGAAUGUCUUUUUGCUGUUACAUUUUCUUUUUGCAUGCCAUUUGUUAAUAUGUUAUAGAGACAGAUGAUAAGCUGUAAUGCUUAAAUCUAAAUAAACAUUCUGUUCUGUUUUGUUCUGUUACUCUACUUUUUGACUCAGUUCGGGUGGACUCGGGAAGAUGGAAGCAGGUAACAUCUUCCACAUCGUAAAGUUACUAAGUUGGGACUGUCCAAAACAGUAUAUCAAUAUGCUUUGGAACUAAGUCGUCUGCUGCUUGCUUCUUUAAAGGACAAGGAAAGCCUGACAAUAAGUUAAUUUUAUAUUGAAAGCCAUUAUCAAGCCUUUCAUAACGCUGAAUAAAGUUUUUAAAAUCGGACCACUAUUUAAAAUGAUAUGGCAGUUUGAAAUUUAAGAAAACUGCUGAUCAUGGAGGCAGCCAUUUUGUGUGCUUAUGACGUCAUUUACGCAGUGCUGAAUUCUCUUUUUAGCAAAUAACCUAUUAAAUAAAUUAAUUAUCAUAUUUUCUUGAAUGUAAUAUGUAAAACAUGCUAAUUUCUUUCAUUAUAGCUGCAAAAAAUAGAGAAAUUAUUGUACAGAAAUAAGUAAAUACAGUUCCGAUAUGUGUCUAGAAAUUUGAUAAAUCCGCCAUUUUGUUUUUGUUGCCAUGGAAACAAAAUGGCCGCCAUUUUAAUCAGUUAUUUAAAUGCUCAUAACUUUCUUAUUUUUAAGUCGAUUUUGAAACUUCUUUCUCAUCUUUAAAUGGUUAAAGAAAUCCCAGCAGAUGGAAUUAACAUCAAAACAACAAUGCCUUUCCCUUUAAUAUCUGUAGAUUUCUUGAAGACGACCUUAGUUAAAUAAAAGAUAAAUGUUUAAUUAUCUUGUGUAUACUUGCAUUUAGCUGUAUUCGUGGACAAAUUAAUUUACAGUAUCAUCAAUGAAGAUGUUACCAAAGGGUUAUAGCAAUUUCUUUUAAUUUUUUUUCACCUGCAUACAGUCUUUAUGCUGUAAACAUUUGCGUAUGCCAUAUCCUGAUGUAUGUUUAAGUGCUGAUGUUUGAUGUAUUAUACAUUUGUCAAUAAAAUACCAUUAAAAA